AGCUUGCUGGCCUGGCCCAAAGCAGCGGAGAAGGAGGUGGAGCAGCAGCUCUGAAGCUGAGUCUUAAGAGGCCUAUGGAUGCGCUAUAGAAGAGGACUCUUUAUUUGAAGGGCUUAAAGGCUGCAACAGGAAGAAAUAAAACCAGAUGGAGCAGGGCGGGAGGAGCGCCCUGAUUGAAGUCUGGCUAAAACAGAUGGAUGGCUAUACAAAAAACUAAGGAUAUUUAGCAGGGGCUCAAAGCCAAUCGAAAGCUAAUUAAAAG